AGAUGUUUCAAGCCUGCAGCAGACUCUGAACAGCAGGAGGUGACUCCUCAGACCUGCUCUGCUGCCCAGGGGCUGGCCCUCCCGCCCUGUUGGUGCCCCGGGCGGGCAGGGGGAGUCAGUGCUGCCGCAGUAGCCUCUCCUGCUGGCCUGUUGUGGCUCGGGGGCAUCUGCCGAGGCUGAGUGAGAGCCCAGGCUCCAGGGCCACCCUCACCUUUUCCGGGUAUUAUCGGGGGACCCACGGGGUCAUUGUGGUUUACGACGUCACCAGUGCCGAGUCCUUUGUCAACGUCAAGCGGUGGCUUCACGAAAUCAACCAGAACUGUGAUGAUGUGUGCCGAAUAUUAGUGGGUAAUAAGAAUGACGACCCUGAGCGGAAGGUGGUGGAGACGGAAGAUGCCUACAAAUUCGCCGGGCAGAUGGGCAUCCAGUUGUUCGAGACCAGCGCCAAGGAGAAUGUCAACGUGGAAGAGAUGUUCAACUGCAUCACGGAGCUGGUCCUCCGAGCAAAGAAAGACAACCUGGCAAAACAGCAGCAGCAACAACAGAACGAUGUGGUGAAGCUCACGAAGAACAGUAAA
rnacentral:lncRNA from 1 species